UACGGAGGGCGCAAGCGUUGUUCGGAAUUACUGGGCGUAAAGCGCGUGUAGGCGGCCAGGUAGGUCGGAUGUGAAAUCCCGGGGCCCAACCCCGGAACUGCACUCGAUACUGCCUGGCUGGAGUCCCGGAGAGGAUGGCGGAAUUUCCGGUGUAGAGGUGAAAUUCGUAGAUAUCGGAAGGAACACCAGUGGCGAAGGCGGCCAUCUGGACGGUGACUGACGCUGAGACGCGAAAGCGUGGGGAGCAAACAGG
rnacentral:rRNA from 1 species